AACCUCGGGACACAAAAGAAGGGUCAAUCUAGACCAAACUCGACAUUCCGGAGCUAACUGCACUGACGGAAUUCUCAUCCGAGUGCGUUUACUCAAAAUGUUGACCAAAGUCAAACUUAAGCCAAAAUUCAAAGGUUAAAACGCCUAAUCGCACCAACUCACACUGAAAACCUCGGGAGUCAAGUCGACCAUGCUACUAGCCUAAAAUGACCCUUCCGGAGCUGAUGGAAUCGUCAGAAUUGGAUUCCGAU
rnacentral:lncRNA from 1 species